GUGAGUAACGCGUGGAAAACCUGCCGUAUACCGGGGGAUAACACUUAGAAAUAGGUGCUAAUACCGCAUAAGCGCACAGCUUCGCAUGAAGCAGUGUGAAAAACUCCGGUGGUAUACGAUGGUUCCGCGUCUGAUUAGCUAGUUGGCGGGGUAACGGCCCACCAAGGCAGCGAUCAGUAGCCGGCCUGAGAGGGUGAACGGCCACAUUGGGACUGAGACACGGCCCAAACUCCUACGGGAGGCAGCAGUGGGGAAUAUUGCACAAUGGGGGAAACCCUGAUGCAGCGACGCCGCGUGAGUGAAGAAGUAUUUCGGUACGUAAAGCUCUAUCAGCAGGGAAGAAAAUGACGGUACCUGACUAAGAAGCCCCGGCUAACUACGUGCCAGCAGCCGCGGUAAUACGUAGGGGGCAAGCGUUAUCCGGAUUUACUGGGUGUAAAGGGAGCGUAUACGGCAGCGCAAGUCUGGAGUGAAAUGCCGGGGCCCAACCCCGGAACUGCUUUGGAAACUGUGCAUCUUGAGUGCGGGAGAGGUAAGUGGAAUUCCUAGUGUAGCGGUGAAAUGCGUAUAUAUUAGGAGGAACACC
rnacentral:rRNA from 1 species